UUUGCUUAAUAUUCUUAUAUAUGUAAAUACAGCACAAUUACAGUGUAACACAUAUUGGGUUGUCGUGCUUUCUGUUAUUAUCAGACAUAUUCAUCAAUCAUCAAUCAUCAUACAUUCAUACACAUAAUUACAUAUUAUCAGAAUAUAUUUGUCAGCUAAAAUAUACAGCUCAAAUAAACUAAUCGUCUGGUAAAAUACGGUUCUGCUAAUAAACUUGUCUACGUUAUUAUUUUUCUCCUGAAAUACAGAUCGAUAGAAAUAUUUUCGUUCAUUUAAGCGCUCCCUGUUCCCGUUAGUUGGAAGACAUUGUUGCCGCCGCCGAUCAAGACUCUGUCGCAUUUCAAGCGUGGAUGAGGACGCCAGUUGCUGGUCAGGCCAUUCCGCCAUAAAUAUUAUAAAAUAAUGUCCAAGCGCAUUAUGUAUUGAUCAUAUCGAAUUUUAUUAAGUCUAAUGGAAUAUGGAGGUGUUUAAAUAUCAAAUUGAUAUUGGAAAGACGUGUGUAAAAAAAGGAUGUUGAAUAAAUGGGAGGUAUCUCCAAUUGGAGUUCUCUAGAACUGGAUAGACAAGGAUGCGAGCUUGGUUGUGAGACGCAAUGGUCUUAAAGGCCCAAUAAACCCUAAGAAGAAGAAGAAGAAGAAGAAGAAGAAGAAGAAUUGUGUAACAAACAGUUUAUUUAUUUUAUUUUAUGGGGUCACCUACUGCACAAUUUGUCGGUUUUUACUACGG